CGUAGGUGGCAAGCGUUGUCCGGAUUUAUUGGGUUUAAAGGGUGCGUAGGCGGUCUUGUAAGUCAGUGGUGAAAUACGGCAGCUUAACUGUCGAGGUGCCAUUGAUACUGCAGGACUUGAGUACAGACGAGGUAGGCGGAAUUGACGGUGUAGCGGUGAAAUGCUUAGAUAUCGUCAAGAACACCGAUAGCGAAGGCAGCUUACUAGACUGUAACUGACGCUGAUGCACGAAAGUGUGGGCAUCAAACAGGAUUAGAUACCCUGGUAGUCCACACUGUAAACGAUGAUUACUCGAUGUUGGCGAUACACAGUCAGCGUCUUAGCGAAAGCGAUAAGUAAUCCACCUGGGGAGUACGCCGGCAACGGUG
rnacentral:rRNA from 1 species